AGAAUCAACGCUGGCGGCGUGCCUAACACAUGCAAGUCGAACGAGAAAGUGGAGCAAUCCAUGAGUAAAGUGGCGCACGGGUGAGUAACACGUGACUAACCUACCCUUGAGUGGGGGAUAACCUAGAGAAAUCUGGGCUAAUACCGCAUAAUACCUUCGGGUCAAAGGAGCAAUUCGCUUAAGGAGGGGGUCGCGGCCGAUUAGUUAGUUGGCGGGGUAAUGGCCCACCAAGACUGUGAUCGGUAUCCGGCCUGAGAGGGCGCACGGACACACUGGAACUGAAACACGGUCCAGACUCCUACGGGAGGCAGCAGUGGGAAUUUUGCGCAAUGGGGGAAACCCUGACGCAGCAACGCCGCGUGGAGGAUGAAGUCCCUUGGGACGUAAACUCCUUUCGAUCGGGACGAUUAUGACGGUACCGAGAGAAGAGGCCCCGGCUAACUUCGCGCCAGCAGCCGC
rnacentral:rRNA from 1 species